GGAGGCGGCUCUGGCCGAGGUCGUCGCAACAGCACAGGAGGCUGUAACACAGACGCAGUGGUGUGGUGAAAAACGCAACCUGUGUGAUGGAGGGGUUCUGGAAGAAACUUGAAAUUCUCCAACAGAAGCACUCAGCAGUGGCUCGUGCUAAUCUCUGUGUACCAAGGAGGCUGCUCCACCCGAUCAGCGUUGUCAGCUCCGACCUCCAAUGUGGCCCUGCCGGCAGCAAGCAACGGGCAGGGUUUCCAUCGCAAGAUACUGCUCGUGGCCGUCAGGAACUGGGUCAGGGCUACAUGCUUAGCCCAAGCUGAGCCAGUUGGACUCUCUCCUGAAAAACUAUACUGAUGGACCCAGAGUGGAGAGGUUGGAAGCUACGCUGGCCCACGGCAGAGCCAGAGAGA